AAGGAGGCGAUGAUGCUUCAAACCUACCUAUUUUAUGAACGGGUUUUCACCAUAUUUUCUGAUUACAAAUCCACCAAUGGAUCCUUCUGAGCCACCU